GUGGGGAAUAUUGGACAAUGGGCGCAAGACUGAUCCAGCCAUACCGCGUGGGUGAAGAAGGCCUUCGGGUUGUAAAGCCCUUUUGUUGGGAAAGAAAUCCUGUCGGUUAAUACCUGGCGGGGAUGACGGUACCCAAAGAAUAAGCACCGGCUAACUUCGUGCCAGCAGCCGCGGUAAUACGAAGGGUGCAAGCGUUACUCGGAAUUACUGGGCGUAAAGCGUGCGUAGGUGGUGGUUUAAGUCCGUUGUGAAAGCCCUGGGCUCAACCUGGGAAUUGCAGUGGAUACUGGAUCACUAGAGUGUGGUAGAGGGAUGCGGAAUUUCUGGUGUAGCAGUGAAAUGCGUAGAGAUCAGAAGGAACAUCCGUGGCGAAGGCGGCAUCCUGGGCCAACACUGACACUGAGGCACGAAAGCGUGGGGAGCAAACAGGAUUAGAUACCCUAGUAGUCC
rnacentral:rRNA from 1 species